CCGCGUGAGGGAAGACUGCCUAUGGGUUGUAAACCUCUUUUUUCAGGGAGGAAUAAAUGACGUGUACCUGAAGAAUAAGCAUCGGCUAACUCCGUGCCAGCAGCCGCGGUAAGACGGAGGAUGCAAGUGUUAUCCGGAAUCACUGGGCGUAAAGCGUCUGUAGGUGGCCUAAUAAGUCAACUGUUAAAUCUUGAGGCUCAACUUCAAAAUCGCAGUCGAAACUAUUAGACUAGAGUAUAGUAGAGGUAAAGGGAAUUUCCAGUGGAGCGGUGAAAUGCGUAGAUAUUGGAAAGAACACCGAUGGCGAAAGCACUUUACUGGGCUAUUACUAACACUCAGAGACGAAAGCUAGGGUAGCAAAUGGGAUUAGAUACCCCAGUAGUCCUAGCCGUAAACAAUGGAUACUAGAUGUUGAACAGAUCGACCUGUGCAGUAUCAAAGCUAACGCGUUAAGUAUCCCGCCUGGGAAGUAUGCUCGCAAGAGUGAAACUCAAAGGAAUUGACGG
rnacentral:rRNA from 1 species